UGAUGGUGGUGGUUGUAGUAAUGAUGAUGAUGGUAGUGAUAGCAGUUUAGUGAUGGUGGUAGUAGUAGUAAUGAUGAUGGUAGUGAUAGCAGUUUAGUGAUGGUGGUGGUUGUAGUAAUAAUGAUGAUGGUAGUGAUAGCAGUUUAGUGAUGGUGGUGGUAGUAGUAAUGAUGAUGGUAGUGAUAGCAGUUUAGUGAUGGUGGUGGUUGUAGUAAUGAUGAUGAUGGUAGUGAUAGCAGUUUAGUGAUGGUGGUGGUAGUAGUAAUGAUGAUGAUGUUAGUGAUAGCAGUUUAGUGAUGGUGGUAGUAGUAAUGAUGAUGGUAGUGAUAGCAGUUUAGUGAUGGUGGUGGUAGUAAUGAUGAUGAUGGUAGUGAUAGCAGUUUAGUGAUGGUGGUGGUUGUAGUAAUGAUGAUGAUGGUAGUGAUAGCAGUUUAGUGAUGGUGGUGGUAGUAGUAAUGAUGAUGAUGGUAGUGAUAGCAGUUUAGUGAUGGUGGUAGUAGUAAUGAUGAUGGUAGUGAUAACAGUUUAGUGAUGGUGGUGGUGGUGGUAGUAGUAGUAAUGAUGAUGGUAGUGAUAGCAGUUUAGUGAUGGUGGUGGUUGUAGUAAUGAUGAUGAUGGUAGUGAUAGCAGUUUAGUGAUGGUGGUGGUAGUAGUAAUGAUGAUGAUAGUGAUAGCAGUUUAGUGAUGGUGGUGGUAGUAGUAAUAAUGAUGAUGGUAGUGAUAGCAGUUUAGUGAUGGUGGUGGUUGUAGUAAUGAUGAUGAUGGUAGUGAUAGCAGUUUAGUGAUGGUGGUGGUAGUAGUAAUGCUGAUGAUGGUAGUGAUAGCAGUUUAGUGAUGGUGGUGG
ensembl:lncRNA